UACGGAGGGAGCGAGCGUUGUCCGAAGUUACUGGGCGUAAAGCGCGCGUAGGCGGGGGAUUAAGUGAGAAGUGAAAGGCUGAGGCUCAACCUCAUGCAGUGCUUCUCAUACUGGUCCUCUUGAGGGUGGUAGAGAGAAGUGGAAUGGCUGGUGUAGCGGUGAAAUGCGUAGAUAUCAGUCGGAACACCAGUGGCGAAGGCGACUUCCUGGCCUGUUCUUGACGCUGAGGCGCGAAAGCUAGGGUAGCAAACGGG
rnacentral:rRNA from 1 species